UACAAAGAGGAACCCUGUACCUCCUUCCUGAGUUAAGUAAAGUAUAUUCAGAGUGCAGAACAUGAGACUCAGCUGUUAAAAUAUUAAACCUCUGCUCAGCUCCUGCUGUAUGCUGUGGAGCCGCGGCAGAGUCUCUGACUUCUUCCCUGUGAAUUCUGGUGCUCCUCAGGGUUGUCUUCUGGCUCCUACUCUGUUCAGUGCUGCCAUGGACUGGCUGUGGACAACAAUGGCUUUCAUGCCUGUGUCACUGAGGAAAGGUUUACUGACCUUUAACUUUGCAGAUGAUGUUGUGAUCUUUGUAGAACUCUUGGACUCCAUGAUUGCAGCACUUGAGAAGCUGAGUGUCUGUGCUUCUCCACGUACUGUAUGGUUGUGAGAUUUUGACUCUAACCUGUGACCAAAGGCGAUGCUGUCUUUGUUACCAGGUUUGUUUGGAGGAUUCUUGGACACUGCUGGAAUGACUUUGUGUCAAACAAUGUUUACUAAGGGAGACUCAGAUGAAUAUCACUUGCAUGGCGAGGGAACAUCAGCUACAGCGUUUUGGGCAUGUGCGUUUCUCUGGAUAGGUGCAUUAGUGGUGAGGACCGCAGUGGUUGGAGAAAGCCAAGGACAUGCCUACAUUUUACCUGGCUGUGGCAGGUAGAUGGUUACUUUAGAGAAGUUGAGAUGGAUCAGUUGUCUGCCUGGGUGAUUGCCAUCCAGGGCUCAAAGCAGUAUUUGUGAUGUGCAUUCUGCAGUGUUAUUGAUCAGUGCAUACUCCCAGAUGUGUGGAUAAAACCCAUCUAUAAUGUUUAUAGCUCAAAGAUCUGGCCAUUAUUGUUGGGUUUCAGCUGAGUCCAUGCAGUUAGAGCAGGUAUUGCAACACCACGUGUGUGUUUGCAGUAUUACCACGCAGAGAACUGGAAGUUCUGUCAACGUGGUAACGACGGCAGGCUGUCUUAUUUUGUAAAUGUUGCCUGUUGACACAAAGACAAUGCUAAUGGUUCUUCUACAGUGAGUCCUGCUUGAACAGUAUCAUGUUUUUUAAAUUAUAGUGGAAAAAAAAUGCAUUUUUAUAAAUCUAAAUUUGAUUGUAUUGUUAUUUUUUGGCAGAACAGAUAUUUGACUGUAAACUUGUUCAAAGCUUCAUUGCUGUGUUGUUUUCACACAUGAUGAAGUCGUUUGCACAGCAGCACGUUUUCUCGCAGUUGUUAAAGUUUUUAGUUUCAGCUCCCUUCGUGUGGACGUAUCCUGGAUCUGAGGGUGAAAAAAAAAACAAAACAAAAAAGGGUCACAAUUAAGUAAAUUUAAUGAGUGCCUGAACAAAAUCCUGCUUUUACUGUGCUUUGAAUAUUUUACAACUUCUUGACUGUUUAACAAAGUUUUUUUUUUUUUUUCUCUCCUUUCCCAAAGUGCCACUGUUUUUUUAGCACUUUGUCUUUUCCAUGAGGAAUGAGGAGCAGGCAGCAUGUGGGUGGAGGUCAGAUGUGUUCAGAUUCUAUCCUGUUGACACGACUGACUCACUGCAGGUCUCUGCUUUGGGCUCAGAUUUACAGCUGAGGAGAAAAGAUGAUGAAACAUCAUCAAAUCAAAGCAUCAAAAAAGCUGACAGCUGAGGGCUUUUUCCAUGGUGGUUUUUGGUGUUCCGAAGAGUUCCUGGAGUAAAAAUGGUGUGACAGUACGGCGGAAUGUAGAAUGGACUGGACGAGGCUGUGAGAGAGGAGGAGGAGGAGGAGGAUGGGUUGAUGGUCAAGUGCUGGAGACUGAGGGAGGGAGGGAUUUAACCAGAGGGGAAAAAAGAUGACAGGAUGGGGGAGGAGAAGGGAAGACAAAGAGGACAGGGGGAGAAAUCUGGGAAUUUUAUUUUAAGGUUGGAUGUAAUCUGGCCGCUGCUGGAGUUGGUGAGAGAGGCAGAGACGUUACACGUCACAGAGGUCAUCACAUCAUCUCGCCUGCAGG